rnacentral:rRNA from 2 species
UACGGAGGGGGUUAGCGUUGUUCGGAAUUACUGGGCGUAAAGCGCACGUAGGCGGAUUGGAAAGUAUGGGGUGAAAUCCCAGGGCUCAACCCUGGAACGGCCUCAUAAACUCCCAGUCUGGAGUUCGAGAGAGGUGAGUGGAAUUCCGAGUGUAGAGGUGAAAUUCGUAGAUAUUCGGAGGAACACCAGUGGCGAAGGCGGCUCACUGGCUCGAUACUGACGCUGAGGUGCGAAAGUGUGGGGAGCAAACAGG